UGGGGAAUAUUGCACAAUGGGCGAAAGCCUGAUGCAGCAACGCCGCGUGCGGGAUGACGGCCUUCGGGUUGUAAACCGCUUUCAGCAGGGACGAAGGUUUUCUGACGGUACCUGCAGAAGAAGCACCGGCUAACUACGUGCCAGCAGCCGCGGUGAUACGUAGGGUGCGAGCGUUGUCCGGAAUUAUUGGGCGUAAAGAGCUUGUAGGCGGUCCGUUGCGUCGGAAGUGAAAACUCAGGGCUUAACCCUGAGCCUGCUUUCGAUACGGGCGGACUUGAGGGAUGUAGGGGAGAACGGAAUUCCUGGUGGAGCGGUGGAAUGCGCAGAUAUCAGGAGGAACACCAGUGGCGAAGGCGGUUCUCUGGACAUUUCCUGACGCUGAGAAGCGAAAGCGUGGGGAGCAAACAGGCUUAGAUACCCUGGUAGUCCACGCCGUAAACGGUGGGCACUAGGUGUGGGACCCAUUCCACGGGUUCCGUGCCGUAGCUAACGCAUUAAGUGCCCCGCCUGGGGAGUACGGCCGCAAGGCUAAAACUCAAAGGAAUUG
rnacentral:rRNA from 1 species